UUUCCAUCUUCCCACUGCACUUUCUUCAGAUUUUAGGCCACUUGUACUGAAAAUGUCUUCCUGCAUUAUUCUUUUCCCAGGUUUGUACAUCCAGUUUGUCUACAGAUGUACAAAUUUGCUUUAGAGUUUGAUGUCUCAAUUUGUAUUUUUGAUUCUGCUGUAAAAUUUUUUGCUUCAAAUAUUUUUCUCUGUUUAGAAAAAUGUACUGUUUCCCAGGUCAAUUUAGUUCACACAUUCAUAGAAUAGAUCCAGAAGAAACACCACAACCUUGCCUUAAUCAUGUCAGGAGAUCUCGAUACGAAAUAGAGUAGGAGCCAUUCCAUGAAAGGCAGAGAGAUUACAGGCCAACGUCUUCUAAACUCAGUUGUGAAACUCCUAAAUCAAAUUGUGGAAAAGCUUGACUCCAGAGAGUUUUAGAAAAUAAACUGAGAUUUUCUGAAGGAAAAAGUAUCCUAGUUAAGAGGUUUUGGGGGAUUGUUUUAAAUUAAAGGCAUGUUAAAAAGAUAAACACAAUCAAGUAGAUAUAAAAAGUUACAAAAUAGAGAAAAUUAAUAUUAGAGGUUACAAUAGGUAGAUGAAAAUCUUACUUUGCAGUCAAAAUGGACUGGGUUAGGUAGAUUUAUUUGUAAGGUGUUAUUAAAAUUAGCUACAAUAUUAAAAAUACACUAAUACCAAACUAAAAUUUCGGUUUAAAAAAUAAGCUUUUGUUAAGAUAGAUAAUUUGUUCUCAGUGAAAUACAAGAGGUAAUAAUUUUUCAUUCCAAAAUCUGUUUUUAUUUUUAAACUUCUCAGAUUUAUACCUCAGAGAUUCAACUUUUACUGUGUCUCUUUACAUGUAAUUUACAUGUCCCACAUCAUUGCCUUCUGUUUCUUUUUUGUUGUCUUGCAACUAGACAGUCCCAUCUGGGUGUGCUGGGAGAGAGUGACACAUCAUCAGCCAUUAGAUUCUCACACAGCGCAUGCAGCCCAGAUCUCUGUGCAGCUCACAGUAGAGUUUGUGCUCCUCUGAGACUCUAAUGUUAUGGCUACUGUGACAGGAGGCAGAGCUUGGGCGGUGACGGGAGUGAUGGGGAGUGGCUGUAAACACAGAUGCAGCUUUGCUCCAGCCAGCUGCUCACCUCCUGCUGUGCAGCCCGUUUCCUAACAGGCCACAAAAGUGCAGAAGUGAAGAUGUAUUUCCACUUCCAGCUUGGUUCGCUUUUUAUAGUAAAGAACAUCUCAAUGCAAGGUUUAGAUAUUUAGCUGAUUGUUAGACAGUAGCUAAAAUGGAACUCUUCCUGAGAUAGUGUGGCCCCAUUUUCAAACAAAUGGACAUCAUGUGAAACUUGUAAAUGAACAUAAAAGUUGAAGUACUACAGAAGUUCCCAGACGCCCUCCCCACUCAGUACCCUUUUUGUGAUCACAGCUCACACGAAUGUGGUGCAUUUGUUACAGUGGCUGAACCGAUAGUGAUAUCUUCUUAUUAGUGAAAGUCUGGAGUUCACAUUAAGGCUCACCCUGUGUUGUGCAGCCUGUGCAUUUUGACAAACUCAUGUCAUUCAUCACCCAGACAGAAGAGUUUUGCACCCAAAACAUGACCUGUGCUGCACCUCUUAAUCCCUUUCCUCUUUUCUCAGGACCCCUGACUGCUAUAGAUCAUUUAUUUUACUGCCUGUAUACAUUUUUCCCCAAAUUUUAUAGAAUUGGAAUCAUAAAGCAUGCAGCCACUUAGGACUGAUUUCACUUCGCAAUAUACAUGUAAGAUUUUUCAUGUCUUUUAGUAGCUUAAUGGCUUAUUCAUUUUUACCAGUGGGUCACAUUCCCUAGGGUCCAUGUAACGGUGUGGGUUGGUGCACGCACCUCCUGAAGAGCAUCUCAGCUGAUUCCAGUUCAGGCGAUUAUGAAUACAUGUGCCCUCAUUCUUGUGUGGAUUUUGUAAUGGGCAUAAUUUUAAAAUUUAACUGGGUAAAUGUUUACAAUUUUAAUCGGUUGUUUAUAUAACAAGACAAUGUCUUCCUUUGUAAGAAUUAGGAAGAAUUCAGUAAAGUCACAUGGGUAUUUUUUACAAAGCUGUUGUUGAUUCCAUUUCUAUAGUAGAUAUAAGCCUGCUCAGGUUAUCUGACUCUCCUUUGGGUAGUUAUAGUUUCUGCCUUUGGAGGAAUUCAUCAUUUUCAUCUAGGCUGUCAAAUCUGUGAGCGUAGAUUUGUUCUAAGUAUUCUUUAUUACCUGCUUGAUAUUAAUGGGAUCAGCAGGAAUCAUUCCUCUUUUUAUUUAUAUUUUUUGUAAAUUGUGUCUUCUAGCUUUUCUUUGUGGUGAGCCUGGCUGGAGGAUUAUGAAUUCUAUUUAUUUUUUCUAUGAAGCAGCUCUUGUUUUUUUUUUUUUUUUUAGUUCUGUUUAUUUUAUUAUUUCUAUUAUAAUGAUCUCUGCAAAUUGUUUUGUUCUAUUUUAAUGUGUGGAUUACAUUACACUAUACUUUUUUCUCUAGUUUCCUAGGUGGAAGGUAAGAACACUGAAUUAAGAUUGUUUUUAGUUUUUUUCUUUUUUAAAAAGAUGGAGUCUUGCUCUGUCUCCAAGGCUUGAGUGCAGUGGCAGGAUCUCAGCUCACUGCAACUUCCACCUCUCAGGUUCAAGCGAUCCUCCUGUCUCAUCCUCCUGAGAAGUUGGGAUUAUAGGUGACCACAACCAUGCCUGGCUAAUUUUUGUAUUUGUAGUAGAGGUGGGGUUUUACCCAGUUGGUCAGGCUUGUCUCAAACUCCUGACCUCGGGUGAUUCACCCACCUCAGCCUCCCAAUGUGCUGGGAUUCCAGGCAUGCACCAGCACACCUGGCCUGCUUUUAGUUUUCUACAUGGCUUUGUGAAUGGAACUAAAGCCACUUUAGUGUGCAUUUAAUAAAAUAAUCCAUAUUGUGUAUUUUUCAUCACAAUAAUGAUUUAAAAUUCAAUGAUAUAGAUGAUAAAUGCAGCAGGAGCACGGGUAGAUUCAGGAACGUUAAACAUUGUAUCGUUUUUUCAAAAGAGGAUAGUACCAGGCCUCUUUCUGUGCGGAGACCCUGUCCUGGAGUCAUGCCGUGCACUUGUGUGCUGCCUCUGUGAACACUGCCUGCUUCACAGUGAUGCGGGUGGCUUAGCCAGAGACCUGAGGCUCUGUCCCCCAGGGCUCUCCUGAUGGUGCCCUUUGCCUUCCUUUAGCACCAAGGAGGGUGGCCCAGCAGCAGCUCAGCCCCUGCUUCUACCCCACCUCCUCUGCACACCCCAGCCCUGUGUCCUCAGCACCCAGGGCUGCCAGAGUGCCUUCAGCAGCUCCUGUGGCUGACAGUGUCUCUAUGCUUCCUAGAACAUCCAAUAAACUGGGAGAAAUCCUCUGCAAGAGCUUUUGCACAAUGCAUUGAGGACUGUGAGACUAUGAUAUCAGCUGUGCAGAAGCAUGGUACGUACCAUAGGAUCACCCCUUUGCUCAUGGAGAAUUGUAAGGAAGGGGACACAUUCCUCCCUGCUCUUGCUGGAGAGUCACACUAACUUGAGCUUCCUGCUGGAAAUUCAGUUUGGGCGGUUUGGUGUAAAAAACAUGGAGAACUUAGUUAACAACUGUGGCCAUGCACUCUAGUUCCCAGAAGCAGUGAUGUCAUUUAAAUAGGAACAGGGGUGCAUCAGGGUGGGGAGGCAUGGAGGAGAGAGUCUGUGUGGAGUGAUGAAUCGGGGCUGUCUUUGGGAGUGUGUGUGCAUUUCUCUAGAAACCGUGGUCCUCUGUGCAAAGCACGACCCAAGGAUCAGUGUUCUAGAAACCAAAUUCCAUCCCCGCUGCACACUCGACAUCAGUCAACACUUUCAUGCUUCAUCACAGCUAUACCUGAAGGUUUGUUUAAUAUCCCCAGUCCUCAGAUUGGAGAGGGUGGAGAAAUGAACUCUCAAUUUCCUGAAUGGAAAAGGCAAAUGUGAACUCAGGAAUGGGUGAAAGGUUGAUGUGAUGGGCUGCUACUCUGCAGGCCUUGCUUGGCCCUGAUGUAACUCAUCACCACACCAGGGAGUGCCAGCAUCUGUGUGUGCAUGGGGAAGGAUGACAGCCUAGAGAGGUCCCAAACGCUAGCCAUGAAUACAGGAUGUUGCCAGUGAUGAUGAAAGGCAAGGUAGCAGUACAGUGGACUUUGGGGUGGUCAUUAAUGUGAAACACACAUGGGGAGUCACAGGCUUUUGGCUGCAGUGGUGGGGUCAUUUCUCAGCUCCUGUUCAAAAGCAGAGAAUAAUCAGGGACAUGUCCUAUUGUAUUUAAAAAUAUGAUUGGACCCAGUGGGGAGGCUCAUGCCUGUAAUCCUAGCACUUUGGGAGGUUGAGGCAGGAGGAUCACUUGAGCCCAGGAGUUUAAGAUCAGCCUGGGCAACACGGUAAAAACCACAUCUUUACAAAAAGUACAAAAAUUAGUCAGGUGUGGUGACGUGCUCCUGAAGUCCCAGUUCCUCAGGAGUCUGAGGCUAGAGGAUUGCUUUGGCCAGACAGGUUGAGUCUUCACUGAGCCAUGAUUGUGCCACUGCACUCCAUCUGGGCAACAGAGUGAGAUCCUGUCACAGAAAAACAAACCAAACCAAAAGAAAAAUCAUGAUGACCACAGCCUUAGAAAUGCUCCAGCUUAGUAACACAGACACCAAGAGACAGGGUGUUAGCUUGGUGCCCACCUUCCCUCUGGAAUCUCUAACAGCUGGGUUAGAGAGGGUCAGCACCCCCACGUUCUGCCCCCAUGACAGGCUGUCCCAGCGUUGAAGCCAGUGUGAGUGUGAGCAGUAACGGACUCUGCAGACACACACACAUGGUGUAUGGAAAACAGAGUGGAAGGACAGAUAGCACGUGCUAAAUAGGGGUCAUCUUUAAAUGGGAGGAAAACAGAUUUUCAAAGAUUUGUUUCAUUGUCCUAAAAACAAAUGGUUAGUGAAUAAAUAGAGUAUUUUGGUUAGAAUUAAAUAUUCUCUUUAAAGAAAGAUUGCAUUUUAACUCAAUUUUGUUUUUCUCUCUUGGGUGGAUUCUAGAGAUGAAAUGACUUUGGAAGGACCCAGGAAGGGAGGGCAAGUGAGUUCAGGUCAGAUUAGGAGGCAGGAGCCCUGAGAGGCUGCAGGGACACACAGCCUGCCCUGGGUGCUGUGCUCUGUUCAAGAUGAACUAUUUGCCGUUGAUGAGGCAGUCAGGGCUAGAAAAUAUUUCUUCCCUGCUCAUCCCCGCACCUGCUAACAGUCACUCUGUGUCCUCCCAGCUGACUGGAUUGCAUCAUUAAAGGGUCACCUCACCGACAGAACAUCAAGUGGGGAAGCCUCAUCAUCUGUUAAGGUCAGGCCACCUGGCUUUGUCUGACAAAAAGUUACUUUCUUAACUUUAUCUAACUGAAUUAAAAUAAGAUAUGAUUAUAUGUAUUAUAGCUGACUUAUACAGUGUCUUUGGUGGGGACAAUUUCGAGUGAGAGUGUUCCUCACUGAGGCUCAAUGUUAGACAGGAGGAGAAAAUGGCAGCAUCAGCCACGCACUGAGUGGCUGUGACCUUUUUCCUUAGCAACUUGAUUAUCUCCUUGGAACAAAGUCACUUAAUUGUCAAGCAGCAUGGACUUAGAGGAAACACCCUCCAAGAAAAACUUGUGUCGUUAGCAUGAGUGGGUUUGUCCUGUUCUUCUUUUGGGUUCCUUUGAGUUGAGCACCUUUUGCCAUCUGAUUCCUAGUGUCAACAACUGAGGAAAAGACCUGUGCACACAGGACACAGCAUGGGCUGGUGCUCAGGCAAUAUGUUUUCUGUCAUUACAGGAGGCCACAGGAGGCCGGAAAAGGGGUACGUAUGGGGGAAUCCUCCCGUGUGGAUGAAUAAUCCAGAUGAUGAGGAACGUGUGUCUCGCUGGCUUUCCUGUACACAGGCAGCCGGAGUUGAGCUUCCUGUUGUGAAUGAGGACCUAGGCCGUGAUGGGAGAAGUGGCUGUUCCAGAUAAGGAUCGAUGGGCACAUUCUGCGGUCCCUGAGAGCAGCAGCAUUCUCUGUCUAUGGGGUGGGGUUCUGUGCACGGGAGUGGUGUGUGUCUGUGAAUGUGUGUAGUGUGACCCUGACUGUGCCUGGCUGUGUGUGGGUUUCCCUAGGUACAUGUCUCUCCCUUAUUAGUGUCCACAUUCUUAGUGAAAAAUGCCUCACUCUUGUAGCCUGACAAGAGCAUAGGUAAUUAUUAGUGAAGAUGUCAGCUUACAACGUGCGUAGUUUAUGCAUGCAAAGGACACUUCAGUUACCCAAAGGAAAUCCUGUCCACACCUAAGCAAAUGUUCAUUGGGUGCUAAUGGAACAAACCUGUCUCAGGAUCCUUACUCAUUCAUUAUUUUUUCAUUGGGAAUCUGCUUCUAAACCUCAUUUUCAAUAAAUGUCACCUGGUAACAGGACUUCCUGUUGCUCCUGGCAUUGGAGUGAUCGUGACAUCUCACUGCGGCCACUUCCCUCCUUCACAAGCCUUUUCUUUUUUUUCUUUUCGUUUGUUUUGUUUUGUUCUUUUGAGAUGGAGUUUCGCUCUUGUUACCCAGGCUGGAGUGCAAUGGCACAAUCCUGGCUCACCGCAACCUCUGCCUCCUGGGUUCAGGCAAUUCUCCUGCCUCAGCCUCCUGAGUAGCUGGGAUUACAGGCACACACCACCUUGCCCAGCUAAUUUUUUGUAUUUUUAGUAGAGAUGGGGUUUCACCAUGUUGACCAGGAUGGUCUCGAUCUGUUGAUCUCGUGAUCCACCCGCCUCAGCCUCCUGAGUAGCUGGGAUUACAGGCACACACCACCGUGCCCAGCUAAUUUUUUGUAUUUUUAGUAGAGAUGGGGUUUCACCAUGUUGACCAGGAUGGUCUCGAUCUGUUGAUCUCGUGAUCCACCCGCCUCGGCCUCCCAAAGUGCUGGGAUUACAGGCUUGAGCCACCGCGCCUGGCCCCUUCACAAGCCUUUUCUACCCAAGCCCUCAGAAUUGAUCCUCCAUGACUGGUCUUCAGCAUGCAGAGUGGGGCGGGGAUCCUUCCUGUGCAGGGAGACCCUGAGGCAGCCCCCUGCUAUGACCAGUUUUGGUAGGAGACUGAGAAAAGAGGAGCCUGCACGCAGGGUUGGGGUAAAAUCACACGACUCUCCAUUGUGGCCUCAUAUUGACCAUCAGCUAAUGUGGCCCAGAAUAGACAAUGCCGGGGCAAUGUAGAGGCCCAGCCUCCAGCACUCAGCCCAGUCAUGGUUUCUGUGUGCUCGGCUCAGGGAACACAGCAAGAGGACAAGGGGACCAAGGGCUUUGCCCCAGGGCCUGAGAGGUAGGGUGAGCCCUUGCCUUCCUCCUGGCAGGAUGUGGGAGGCUGAGGCAUGAGGUGGGAAAGACAGACUCGGCUGCAGGACGGCAGAGGCUCCACGAUGCUUCUCCCGUUACACCCACUGUUGACAAAUGUUCUUCUUUGCCACAGAGCCCUGUGAAAAACAAGUCAAGGUGGUUGAUUUCAGUCCACAUGAAUAUAAAAUGAGCCAAAUUAUGGUUUGAGAAUAAUUUUUUCGGAUUGUGCAUUUGGUAGAAACGUAUCGUAUGCAAUUUGCAUUGCUGUGUAGGUGACAGUACUUUCGUACUUUUCAAUAUAAUGAGGCCAUGUGAUUUUAAAAUGUGCCUUGUUUCCCUCGAAAGUAUGUCCUCAGAACCAAAUUCCCCUAGUCAUCUUUAAUCUCUAGAGCAUAGUUUUUGUGUGACACCUUGGUGGCCUUCUACUGUGUGCGAUUAAAGGUACAAAUCACUGUUACCAACAUUGAGGUUCUAAAAAUUCAUGGUGAGCUGCACAGUGUGCUCCAUGAGAGAGCCGGGCACAGCCUUGGCCUUGGCCUCAAAAGUAACAUGAUUCAGAGGAGCAGGAAGAAGACAUGAGGACAUCCAUGCCAUGGAGGCAGCCAAGGUUGAAAGGCCGGGAGAGAUAGUUCAAUGUCAUGCCCUGGGUGCAGCCAGGAUGUUCGGGCCCCAUCUGAUGGGGAAGGAGCAGAGCUUGGACUUCAGGGCUGGCGUGAGCACUGCCCAGCCACUGUUCUAUGAGCCUGGAGAGAGGAGCCGCUGUUUCAUUUGUCUUCUUCACCUUUCUGUGUUGAUGGCAAUAACAGAAUCAGAAGUUAGUGAGAGGCAAAGAACAGGAGGGAGUUCCCAAGAUAUCUGACUUAGAUGAGAGGAUAUGAUGAGCAGGGGUGGACAUCAGGGUCGGGUCAGACGUAGCACCAUCCCCAGGCCUGCUAUCCCUGUGACUGGGACAGAGAACAGCAUUUACUUUUCCCCAGCUUCUGGAAGUUGCCUGACAGCUGGUCCUUGUGUAGAUGCUGUUGGUCAAGGUUGGUUUAUCCCAGAAUCCCAUUUAACCAAAGGAAGCCUCACAGCCCCUGGCCAGGGCAGCUGCUUCACACUAGUUGCAGCAGAGGUGGGAGGGGAGCCAGAUCCAGUGCAGGGUGAGCUCAGAAAAGGGAGGGGCUGCCCCAGAGCCCAGGUGUUCCUGCACAUCUCCCUUCUGACCCAUAAGGCAUCGCUUUGCCGGUUUCUCUGAGAUAGGCUUGGAAUCAUCUGUCUCACAGUCUGUGACCUGCCAUCAUGGGUGGAAGGAUGCUGGCCCUGGCUGGUCACUGUCAGGGCAGGGACUCUGUCCUUUUUCUUCCUUCUCAUCCCAGAGCUUAGCCCUGGGCAGCCCAUCUUGGGGGCCCCAGUGAUGUUCUCAUGCACACAGCCCUGUGCUGAGAAAGCACAAGUGUGAAAAGUCUUCCUGCUCACCCUCUGCAGUCUGCUGAGUCCCACAUGAAUGCAGGUUCCUGUGUGGGUUCUGAUUCAGGGUCAGGGAGAAGUGCGUGGGCUCCCCUCCGUGUUUGCUGCUGUUGUCCCAUCUGCUCCUGAAGUCUGCAACUAAGGAUUAAAAUAAUAAAUAUUGUGAAUAGCUCACCAUCAUGGCUUAAAGUCCAAUAAAAUGGAUGUUAACUGCCGUAGGAGCAUAGGUUUAUUUAGGAAAGUUAAGUGAUACAGUAACCUUUUUAUAAAAAAGAGGAUACUUACCAGGCCUCUUUCUGUGUGGAGACCCUGUCCUGGAGACAUGCCGUGCACUUAUAUGCUGCCUCUGUGAACACUGCCUAUGUCACAGUGAUGAGGGUGGCUUAGCCAGAGACCCGAGGCUCUGUCCCCCAGGGCUCUCCUGAUGGUGUCCUUUGCCUUCCUUCACCACCAAGGAGGGUGGCCCAGCGGCAGCUCAGCCCCUGCUCUUACCCCACCUCCUUCGUACACCAGCCCUGUGUCCUCAGCACCCAGGGCUGCCAGAGGGCCUUCAGCAGCUCCCACGGCUGACCGUGACUCUGUGUUUCCUAGAUUUCAAAAAGGAAGUGGCAGGAAUGUUCGGCGUGAUGAGCCCAGAAGCUGCCGUAGCUCUUUAUUGGGUAAAGUCCUUAUUCUUUGUCUGAGAUGGGAAUUUUAUUUCUCUUGGUUUCUUUCCACUUCAUUUGAAUUAUGUCACGCAAAUCUCACCAUGGAAAUUAUAGAUGAAUUGCAGAAUUUCUUGGUGGGCAAAUGUAAGUAAGAGUCCAUUACCAACAAAGAACUGGUUCAAGACGGCACCCACAGAUGACAGCUUUAGUGACAAACAUGGCAGAGCAUUUUCCUCAUGGGAAAUGCAUAUUUUUAUAAAAUCAUGGUGACUCUGCAACUAACAUCAUUUUGAAAAUCUUCAUGAAACUUUUGUACCUUUCCACAAGUGUCCUUUAGGCUUUAUUUUCUGGCCAUGGCCUCAAGCACUGUUUCCUUUCUGAGUGUUUAAUGUAAUCAUGUAAACAAAAGACCUGUGCACACAGGACACAGCACGGUCUGAUGCUCACAUUGUUUUCCUUUCUCUCUGCAGAGAAACGCAUCUUUGGAAAGUGGUACAUACUCUGGGUUCAUCCCUUUGCUAAGGAAAUAUCAUAGUGUUGAGAAACUGACACUUUUCUCCCUGCUGUGGCUGGAGAGCCACCCUAGUGUGACAUUCCUGCUGGAAAUGAGGUUUGGACAAUUUGGUGUAAGAAAAAUGAAAAGUUUAGUCAACACCUGUGGCCAUCCACUCUAGUUCCCAGAAGCAGUGAUGUCAUUUAAAAAGGAACAGGGUUGCAUCAGGGUGGGGAGGCAUGAAGAAGAGAGUCUGUGUGGAGUGAUGGGGAAUGUCUAUGGGAGUGUGUGUGUGUGAAUUUCUCUAGAAAGGGUGUUCCCCUGUUCAAAGCACAACAUUAGAAUGAAUGUUCUAGAAACAAACCUCCAUCCCCACUGGACACAUCACGUUAGUCAACACUCAUACUUUGCCAUAGCUGUACAGGGAGGGGAGUUGAACAUGCUGAGUCCUGAGAUGGGAAAAGGUGGAGAGAUUAAUUAUCCGGGCUGUCAAUUUCCUGAAUGAAAAAGGCAAAGUGAUCUCAGGAAUGGGUGGUGAAGAGUGGAAGGACGGGCUGAAACUCUGCAUUAAUCAGACAGCCCUGUUGGAAGUUCUCACCACGCCAGGAAGUUUGAGCAUGUGUGUGUAUAUAAAAAUAGGAUAUAGCCUUAAAGAACAGUUAGUGAAUAAAUAAAAUGUUUUGAUUACCAGUCUUCUUUUUAAAGAAAGGCUGCUUGCUAUUUUGUAGAAAACCUCUAAAAGAAAUGAUAUUCACAGAAGCACCAGAGGUGUGUUCUUGGGAGGAAAUAAGCUUGGAAAAACUCAGGAAGAAGGGGCGAAUAAGCUCAGGUCAGAUGAGAGGGUAGGAGACUGAAGAGCCUGCAGGGACACAGAGCCUGCCCUGGGUGCUGUGCCCUGUUUGAGAUGGGUUAUUUCACGUUGAUGAGGUGACCUGGGGCAAGAAAACCUCUCUUAACUGCUCCUCCACUGCACCUGCUGAAAGUCACUCUGUGUCCUUUUACUUCCAACAGAAAUUAAAGUGGUGGAAAAAUACCAUGCAAGAUUCUUCCCUGAGAAGGAGCCACCACAAGCGAAGGACAGUCCACAUGGGUUGGUUGGAGAAAAGGCUUCUUAACUUUAUCCUUUUGAAUUUCAGUAAGGUAGGAGAAUCUGACCCUAUGUGUCAUAGGUGAUUUAUACAGUGUCUUUGGUGGGGAGAAUUCUGAGUGAGAGUCUGUUCCCCACUGAGGCUUGAUUUAAGACAGGAGGAGAAAAUGGCAGCACCAGCCACGCACUUAGUGACAGUGAGCUUCCUCCUCUGCAGCUUGAUUCCGUGCUUGGGGCAGAAUCACUUCACUGCCAAGUCACAGGACCUUGAGAGGGAAUAUCCUGCGAGAACGACGUUAGCGUGAGUCAGUUGUCCUGUUCUUCUUCUGUGUUCCUCUGACUUGGACACUCUUUCCCAUCUGGUCUUCUAAUGUCAACAAUGAAGACCUGUACACUCAAGCCUCAGGAUGGUCUGAAGCUCACGGUGUUUUCCUUUCUGUCCAUGCAGGCAGAGGAACCCUCCAAGGAAAAAGGUGUGUAUUCUGGGAGCACUCCUCCGCUCAGGAAAGAUCUUGAGUGUGGCAACAGGUGGCACUUACUCUCCUGCUUUUGCUGGAGGGCUGCUUUGGUUUGAGCUUCCUGACAGAAAGGAGAUAGGGGCAGUUUGGUUUAAAAAAUGCUCAGUCCAUCCAGUAAAGAACCGUGACCAUCCUCUCGAGUCCCUGGAGGCGGAACUGCCAUUUAGAUGGAAUAGGGUGGUGUGCCUCAGGGCGGUGAGGUAUGGAGGAGACAGCCCUGUGGAGUGAUUGGGAAUGUCUUUGGGAGUGUAUGCGCGUUUUCCCAGAAAAUUCAGAAAGACUGUCUAAAACACUGAAUUGCUACUGCACAUGUCACCUAAAUUCACCCAUUCAUCCUCCACCACGGCUGUACCUGAAGGUAAAUGUCAUAUCCUCACUCCUCAGACAGAGAUGGUGCAGAGAUGGAUUUCCCAGGCUCUCAGUCUCCCAAAUGGAAGAAGCAAAUGUGAACUCCGGAAAUGGGAGGAGGGUUGAUGCAGUGGGUCACCAGGCGGCCCUGGUAGAACUCGUCGUUAUGCCAGGCAGUUCUGGCAUCUGUCUGUGCAUGUGGAAGGAUAAGAGUCCUGAGAGGUCCCAAACACUGUCUGUCAUUUUAGGGAAGUCUCAAGGGCUGCCUGACGCAGGGUAUCAGGAGGUACAUGUUAUGCUGGACUUUUCUUUUUUUUUUUUUUGUUUUGUUUUGUUUUUUUUCUUGAGACGGAGUUUCACUCUUGUUACCCAGGCUGGAGUGCAAUGGCAUGAUCUGGGCUCACUGCAACUUUGCCUUCUGGGUUCAGGCAAUUCUCCUGCCUCAGCCUCCCGAGUAGCUGGGACUACAGGCUCGCACCACCAUGCCCAGCUAAUUUUUGUAUUUUUCUUAGAGACAGGGUUUCACCAUGUUGACCAGGAUGGUCUUGAUCUCUUGACCUCGUGAUCCACCCGCCUCGGCCUCCCAAAGUGCUGGGAUUAUAGGUGUGAGCCACCGCGCCCGGCCAAGAUAUAUAAAUUUCUUCAUUUCUUCUCCAGGCCCAUGAAUUCUGGGCCCUCAAACCAUACAUGAAUAUCAACUUGCAGCCAGAGCUCCCUUGUAAAGGUGUUGAGCUUGCUUGUAUUACCCUCACUUGACGCACACUCUGCUCUGAGACACACAUGGCUUCUCCCCCUGCCUGGGUUACAGAACUCUCUUGUGUGCUCAGUCUGCUCUUAGGACCUCACAGAAGAAGAGGAGUCCUGCCCGCACCAGUGUGAGUGCCUGUGCCUGGACUGCUUGUCUUCAGCUUCCCUGGGCUGGCUCCUUCUGGGACACUUUCCUCCAUUCUUCCCAGACAUCUUAUAAACAGCGUUCCAGUAGCACCAUGGCUGCUCACACCCAUGGGCUGUGCACGUGGCAUUGUGAUCGUCUCUCUCCUUGUCUAUAUUUUUGGGAGCAUAAGCUCUAAAGGAUAUGGAAAAUAUUUGUGCCAUUUGGACCUCAGUGUGAAGUGGUGUUAAAAGGUGAAGUCCGGUCUAGCCAGCAUUUGGUGUCACUCUCACUGUUACUGUGGGGAGCCCUGUUCUGAAGGUAGAAACAGAACAGAAAGAUAUUCUUGAUUUUGGUGACUGAAGUUGUGAAGGAUGGAAGUCUCUGCCAAGAAAACCAAUGAAUCAGACAUACAGCACUGUACAAAUCAAGCUGAUUCUCGGUGUUAACACCGUGGUCUGGCAGGGUCUGACAUUUUCCAAGGAACCCAGCUGAGCUCCUGUGGGAGCUGCUUCCUGCACUGAGUGGUCCCUUGGCUGGCAGGCUGCUUUGUGGUCAACCACGUGAUACCGGCCAUUUAUGAGGGACAGAAAAAGUUGGCAGAAGAAAUGGCCUUUUUUAAUUUUAAAGGUUCAGAACUCAGGAGGAGACUUCGUGGCAAGAGUUGACAUAGAAGUUGACAGCCCAAAACCUACACCAGUUCUGAGAAGUGUUGAUAUCCAAGAAAGCACAGAAAGAGUUAAAAUUCAUGCUCCCAGGGACUUACAGUUCCCCUCAGUCCUGUCCUCUGCCAUCAGUGUCUUGCAUUCAGACUGAUGUCACUUUAAUGGUGACAGAUUGUUGAACGUCUGUCUCGCUCCAUCUUCUAGAUGAUGCAUUUGGUGGCCAUCUUGGCCUCAUCCAUAAGGAAGCCCUUACCUCUGAGAAAUGCUGGAAACAUCAAAGUUUAAAUAAUCAACAUAUGGAUUUUAUGAAUUUCUGUCAGAGCACCAUCAACUAGUCUUUCCUGAGACUGUGAGAGUUCCCUGCCUUCUGAGGGCCCUGGUGCUGCCUGUCCCUUCAGGGUGCCCUGAGGAGCAGAUGAUGGCAUUGCUGAGAGUUUGAAAAGCUGGAUGUUUCUCUAGCCUGAAGUGAUCUAAAAAAUGUUUGCGCAGCCAUUUGGACCUCAGUGUGAAGUGGUGAUAAAAGGUGAAGUCCAUUCUUCAGGAAGUAAACCUCUGCCACGUGGAUCAUGCCCAGACAGUCUACUGAUUUUGUCCAACAGUUUCUUGCUUUGGAAGGUGUCCUUCUUGGUGGAACACAGUUUCACCUUUUGCUGGAACACAGAGAUACAAAUGACGCUUAACAUACCAACACUUUCUGACUGAGCUCCUCUCUACCCUGAAUACAAGAGACCCUAAUAGAUAUGUGGAAAUAUCAUCACCCCUGUUCAGCAUGAAAUUACAGAAGACAGACCUUCAUCCUUCUGCAACCCUUAGAAUUAAGGGUCCUCUUCUAAAAGGGUGGGGGGGAUAUGUUAGAAGCAUCAAACCAGAGUGACUCUAUUUUCAAUAAGGGCCAAGAAAAGUGAAGCUGGGUCCUGUUGGGCUACAUUCCCAGGAGGUCAAGCAUUCCUAGCCUCCAGAUGUUUACAAUUCAGGGAACAGAUUAAUGAUGUUUCCUAAACAGACUCGGGCCUUGACAGACCCAGAAUCUCCUGGUACCUUGAGAACAAAAGCAUUUCUAGCUUUAAAUAUGCUUUGUACCUAAGAUGGUUGCUUUUCUCCUCUUACUUUUGGAGAUGCCCUACCCUAUGGGGUUGCUGUUCUUGCACCCCUUUAAUAAAGUUGCAUCCAUUUUGCA